rnacentral:rRNA from 1 species
GAGGGAGGGGAAACCCAAUGUGAACGUUACCAAACUGUUGCCUCGGCGGGGUCACGCCCCGGGUGCGUCGCAGCCCCGGAACCAGGCGCCCGCCGGAGGAACCAACCAAACUCUUUCUGUAGUCCCCUCGCGGACGUAUUUCUUACAGCUCUGAGCAAAAAUUCAAAAUGAAUCAAAACUUUCAACAACGGAUCUCUUGGUUCUGGCAUCGAUGAAGAACGCAGCGAAAUGCGAUAAGUAAUGUGAAUUGCAGAAUUCAGUGAAUCAUCGAAUCUUUGAACGCACAUUGCGCCCGCCAGUAUUCUGGCGGGCAUGCCUGUCCGAGCGUCAUUUCAACCCUCGAACCCCUCCGGGGGAUCGGCGUUGGGGAUCGGGACCCCUCACACGGGUGCCGGCCCCGAAAUACAGUGGCGGUCUCGCCGCAGCCUCUCCUGCGCAGUAGUUUGCACAACUCGCACCGGGAGCGCGGCGCGUCCACGUCCGUAAAACACCCAACUUUCUGAAAUGUUGACCUCGGAUCAGGUAGGAAUACCCGCUGAACUUAAGCAUAUCAAUAAGCGGAGGAA